CCCGUUUCCCUCUUUUGAAUGAAGCCAGAAUUUUGCCAUCUUCCUUUCCUGUAAAAAAAAACCUAGCAGAGAAAAACAUAUGAAAUGAGAAAAUUUGGAAGAGAAUAAUGAGAGUUCCAACUCUCGACUCUACUUAUAUAAGGUUCACUUUUUCAAAUGUGCAGCAGAGAGAAAAGUGUCAAAGCGGAACGUAAACACUGACUACCUGCAUGUUGAUAUCCCAUUGCACAUCACUGCACAACAUUGCACAUCUCAUAUCCCAUUGUUUUCUUGCUACAAUAUUUCUGCCCAUUUGUCUCAGCUUGACACCUCACCUUCAUCUCCUCCUUGCUACAUAAUUUUAUAUUUAGUAGAUUUGGCUAUGCAUUUGGGUCUGUUACCAUCUGAUAUGUAUCAAAGUGUUGGGGCAAGGCGCCUCCUAUACCGCUCUCAGAUAACACAUUACGUGAAAGCAGGUCUCAUUGACAAUGCCAUCAAGGUGUUCGACGAAAUGACCCAAUCAAACUGCCGCCUCUUCAGCCUUGACUACAACCGCUUCAUCGGUGUCCUCCUCCGCCAGUCCCGCUUCGACCUUGCUGAGCACUACUACUUCCACCACGUCAUCCCCCAGGGCUUCUCCCUCUCCCCAUUCACCUAUUCCCGCUUCAUUUCUGCCCUCUGCAGCGUCAGGAAUUUCACCCUCAUCAACAAGCUCCUCCGUGACAUGGACGCACUCGGUUGCAUCCCUGACAUAUGGGCCUUCAAUAUCUACUUGGACCUCUUGUGGCGUGAUCAUCGGUUGGAUGAUGCUCUGGAACUUUUCCAUUGCUUGUCCCGCAAGGGAAGAGAGCCUGAUAUUGUUAGUUACACUAUCCUCAUUGAUGCACUGUGCAAGUCUCGCCGGUUCAAUGAGGCUGCUGGGUUUUGGCGAGGUUUGAUUGAUAAGGGGCUGAAACCUGAUGCUAAGGCUUGUGGUGCUCUUGUGACUGGUUUGUGUUCUGGUGGUCAUGUUGAUUUGGCUUAUGAGCUUGUUGUUGAGGUGAUCAAGGGUGGUGUGGAGGUUAAUAGUUUGGUUUAUAAUGCUUUGAUUGGUGGGUAUUGUAGGGUAGGGAAGAUUGAUAAGGCGCUCGCGAUUAAGGCGUUUAUGAGCAAGAAUGGGUGUCUGCCGGACUUGGUGACUUAUAAUACCUUGUUGAAUUAUUGUUGUAAUGAGCUUAUGUUGGAUGAGGCAGUUAGGUUAGUACAGUCAAUGGAGACGAGUGGUGUGGAGCCAGAUUUGUAUAGUUAUAAUGAGCUGCUAAAGGUUUUUUGUAAGGCUAACCAAAUGGAAAGAGCUUAUUGGAUUAUGGUAAAUAGGAUGCAGGUUAAAGGGUUGUGUGAUGUUGUUUCUUACAAUACCAUUAUCGAUGCGUUUUGUAAGGCACACCAGACUGGGAGGGCUUAUAACUUGUUUAAGGAAAUGUAUAGGAAGGGGAUUCAACCCGAUGUAGUGACUUUCACAAUCAUUAUAAAAGCAUUUCUGAGAGAAGGUAGUUCUACUGUGGCCAAGAAGCAUCUUGAUCAAAUGACCAAGAUGGAUAUUGCUCCUGAUCAAGUAUUCUAUACGACAAUAGUGGAUCACAUGUGCAAGACUGGAAAAAUUGAUACGGCUCAUAGCAUUUUCCGUGACAUGGUGGAGAAUGGUAUAACUCCAGAUGUUGUCUCUUACAAUGCCCUCAUAAAUGGGUUUUGCAAGGCUUCUCGAGUUACAGAUGCUAUGCAUCUAUAUGAUGAAAUGCAAGCGAAAGAAUUCCAUCCUGAUGCGGUAACUUUCAAGUUGAUAGUUGGAGGGCUUAUAAGGGAAAACAAGCUUUCAGAUGCCUGUAAGGUUUGGGACCAGAUGAUGGAAAAGGGCUUUACACUCGACAGUCAUGUUUCUCAGACCCUGAUCAAUGCCCUUCAAUUGAGUAAUGCCACAUAAACAUGACAUUUGUUAAUGCCAUCAUCACACGUUCCUUUCUAAUGGAAAACUGGCCUAAUCGUUUGCUCGGAAAAUUGUAUGUGAAAGCUUGGCAACAUGUUGAAGUGGUACCCUUUCUGCAUGUUAUGGCACCUGCAAAUCUGUUUAUCCCUUUUCUAUGUUGCUCACGGUGCAAUCCCUUACCAUGACUGUUUACUUGCUGCUCAUGCUUUUGGACACUGAAACAUACUACUGAUUCACUGGCCAGUCUAUAUUAAAGGAUCCAAGGCCACCCAUCAAGCGUGGUUCAGUAAUGGUUUUCUGCCACAAAUGGAGAUGCUGGUGUGCAGCAUGGAACUUCAGGCUUCUUAAAAGAAACGUCACCCAAAUGGUUUCACUUGUCCAAUAUGAAACAAAAUAAGACAACAUGAAAGUACAAAACAAAAUAAGGCAAUAAAGGAAAAAUUUGUUUGCAAAUGAUUUGACAAGAGCAUACUUUCUGAAGGGCUUCCGAAGCAAUGAAGAAUGAUCAGUAACCACCAAAUCUUUGUUUCAUUUGGUAAAUGUCACUUUUCGAUGAACUAUUUUAUUUACCCAUGUAUUCAAGAGAAUCUUAUUUUGGGGGAAAAAAGGACUCCUUUCUUGAAGCAGUUGCAUUCAGUUAGGUAAGCAUCAAGGUUCAAAUAAACGGUUAUUCGUCAAAGCUAAGUUUGAAAAUGGUGGUUUCUUAUGGUGUCUCCUUUUCCUCUUUGCGGGUAUGAAACAAAAAUGCGUGAAACAGAACAAAUUUACAGAUGUAGAUCCUCGGCUGCAAACUGUCAUUUGUAUGUGAUUUCUCCUGUCACAACUCAGUACAAGAUUGGAGAACUGAGAAUUGUUGAUAUUAUUCACCAAAUCUUGUUGCAUGAAUGCUUAGUAGUUAUCAAUGUCCAGCUAGUGAGUCUGGGUGAACUUCCAAGUUUCUGGGUUUGGUUCCUCACAUUUCUUACAGCUAUUUUGAGUGGUAGUUUGGGGGUUGGAGGGAAUGGAGGAAGAAUAGUUGAAGUAGAAGGCAUUGUUGUUGACUACGUAAUUCUGGAAGUAAUGUCUUCUGUUCAGAAAUUUGAAGAUAACUUAUGCCUGCAACUGUUGAAGCAUUUACCGCAAUUUUCAUGGAACCGGGAAAUUAAAGUGGUAGCUGUUCGAUUUAGUAUUUUACGAAGGGAGGUACUUAACACAGAUUAAAAGAGUGAAGAGAUACACAGAAAACUAGAAAAGGAAAAAAUAACAUGAUUGUGGAUUUUUCUUUUAAUGAUACUCCAAAAGGAUCUAUGUAUCCUGUGUAUCGUAUGAAUAUGUAUGUGGGCAUCACCUUUUACGAAUUCAUAUUUAAUUCUUUAUCAUUUGAAUGAAGGUGGUUGUUCCC